UUGCGCCCCAAGCCGUUAGGCCGAGGGCACGUCUGCCUGGGUGUCACGCAUCGUUGCCCCACCACCCCGCCCCCCCUCUAAGCGGGGGCCCGGCGGUGCGGGCGGAGAAUGGCCUCCCGUGCGCUCCCCGCUCGCGGUUGGCCCAAAUCCGAGUCUCCGGAGACCGGAGCCGCGACGAUCGGUGGUGAGAACAUACCUCUCGGGAUCACGUCGCGAGCCCCGUCCCCGUCGAGGGACUCAGGGACCCUGACGCUCCGCGCAAGCGGCGCUCGCAUCGCGACCCCAGGUCAGGCGGGACUACCCGCUGAGUUUAAGCAUAUCAAUAAGCGGAGGAAAAGAAACUUACCAGGAUUCCCCU
rnacentral:rRNA from 1 species